rnacentral:rRNA from 1 species
CCUACGGGUGGCAGCAGUGGGGGAUAUUGCACAAUGGGGGAAACCCUGAUGCAGCGACGCCGCGUGUGGGAAGACGGUCCUCUGGAUUGUAAACUACUGUCCCCAGGGACGAAGAUGACGGUACCUGGGGAGGAAGCUCCGGCAAACUACGUGCCAGCAGCCGCGGUAAUACGUAGGGAGCGAGCGUUGUCCGGAAUUACUGGGUGUAAAGGGAGCGUAGGCGGGGAUGCAAGUUGGGUGUAAAAACUACCGGUUCAACUGGUAGUCGCACUCAAAACUGCAGCUCUUGAGUGAAGUAGAGGCAGGCGGAAUUCGUAGUGUAGCGGUGAAAUGCGUAGAUAUUAGGAGGAACACCAGUGGCGAAGGCAGCCUACUGGGCUUUUACUGACGCUGAGGCUCGAAAGUGUGGGGAGCAAACAGGAUUAGAUACCCUAGUAGUC